rnacentral:lncRNA from 1 species
CAGAGAUCCAGAGCAGGACAGCAUCGCAGUGGGCAGCAGGGUAGUGGGGAUCCAGGCUGGGCAGCAACAGGAGACGACUGAAGAAACAUCUGAAGGCAUCUUGACACGUGGGAAAGAGAUAAACAGAAAGGAAGGAAAGAAAAAGAUGUUAGGAAGUGCACAUUAGUGGAGCAUGCAGACUUGCUAAGAUUGGGAAUCUGGAGGGGCAUUACACACUCAAAGGCAAUGCCAGCAGCCCAACACUGGACCGCACACUGGCUCUCCACACUGGGGUGAAGUGGGUCCAGAGGCAGAGCACACACCACAGGGCGAGAAGAGCCGCUACAGCAGCCCUGCACAACAACACACACUACAGUCAGUACAGCUGUGUGUGUGUGUAUGUGUGUGUGUGUGUGUGUGUUUGUGCAUGUCUGUGUG